UACGUAGGGUGCGAGCGUUGUCCGGAAUUGUUGGGCGUAAAGAGCUCGUAGGCGGUGUGUCACGUCGGCCGUGAAAACCUGCAGCUUAACUGUGGGCGUGCGGUCGAUACGGGCAUCACUGGAGUUCGGCAGGGGAGACUGGAAUUCCUGGUGUAGCGGUGAAAUGCGCAGAUAUCAGGAGGAACACCGGUGGCGAAGGCGGGUCUCUGGGCCGAUACUGACGCUGAGGAGCGAAAGCGUGGGGAGCGAACAGG
rnacentral:rRNA from 1 species